UAGCCUUGCUUAUAGCUAGCAGCUCCCAGAAAUUUUCUAUUUUAAGAUAUAUUGUACACCAUGUGAUGCAAACCAGAUCUGAAUUAGAAUUAAAUUCAGAAUUAAAGGAUAUUUGGGGUUGGAAGGGACUUCUGGAGGUCAACUUAUUCAACCCACCUGCUUCAAAAGGGACACCUAAGACAAGUUGUCCAGAGCCACACCAAGAUGGCAGUUCAGAUUGAACUGAAUGUAUACUGUAUUGCCUGUAGAUCAAGAAUAGCAGCCAGCACAAGAUUGUCCCAGAAACAACACUGCUGGUGGUCGAUCUGCUUAUUGGCACAGACAUUCUGAAAUGAAGGCACUCAAAAAUCAUCUCCUUUUAGUCAUUUUCCUCCUCUACUUUCAUUCUUGAAUGUUUGCUUGAUUUUGUUGUAUGGCUGCCCAGUAGCAUGCAAAAGUAGCAUUUUCCAAGAUUUAUAAAGAAAGAAGGAUGUAUGUAUCUAGGUCUCUGAUGAAAUCUUCCAAUGGUCCUUCUGUCCAAGAAUGGCUUCAGGAAAGACUAAGUAGCCAUCCAGUGUCACUUUAGGAUGUCACCUCACAGAGAUCCAAAAAAGGAAAAAACUUGUAGCAACAUCUUUCAUUGAAGAAGGACAACUACCUCCUCCAACUCCUUGCCAGCUAUCUAACACAAUAGUCACUCACUGGGAAAAUAUCCCAGGUUCUGAAUUCUUGCAAUCUUUAAAAGAUCUAAGGGGAAGAAAACCAUUAGAAAAUUACGUCUUCCCUUCCUCCCACUCCUUUAUUUCUACAUCAUCUCUAUCUUUCUUUGAGGAAGCUUAAAAUUGCUCAGCAAGUCAGGUUUUUUUGACUGAUGCAUCUUCAGCCAGAUGUACCUCACCUUCCCAGGGAAAGCUGAGUAGACAAACUCCAAGUUUUCUAUUUCUUUCUUUGUCUCAGGCACCUAGACAUCACUAUACCUAACUUCUACAAAUCUAAAUCUUUGUAUUAUAUCUGUCGUUUACUUCUGCACCAGUUUUAGAGUAAGAGGAUCUGUGCUACAACAUUCAGGAUGUUUACAGCAAAGCCAGAUAACAUAAAAAUCCGGAUUCCCAGCUUCUUCAACUCAUCUUUCCAGUUAUUAAUUAUAUGAGGGCAAUUCAUAUAAAACAUGCUAAGAGUAAAUUGUAGACUCUUGGAAGAAGUCCAGUCAAUUAGAAUGAUAGUUAAAAAUGAAUUCAUAUCUGAAAGAGAAAGAAACCUGAAAGACCACAGCAGGUUACAAAACACUACAAGAACUUGAAAAUAAAGCUGCAGGGGAAAAAAAUCAAUUGCAUUGUGGCCAAUAUUAAUCUCCCAUCAAUAAAUACCAUAUCUUUCACUUCUUAUGGUAAUUGGCCCAGUGAUUCCCCUUAAAGUGGUUCUCAAGUACUUAGAGGGCCCUUUGAUAGCAUCUUAUCAGGUCUCAGCGCAAUGGUGAGAAAGUGCAAAUAGGAACUACAGCCUAGUCAGAGAGAAAAUAUGGUCUUUAGAAUGUGCUGAACUGACAAAAGGUUGUUUGUCACAGACAUUAGUCUUUAUCUGCUUAGCGGAUAACUCUUCCAGAAGGAACCCUUCAGCCUCUCUGACACUGCCACUCAGAAAACACCUCAGGAGGAUUUUCCAGUAAAAAAAGAGUUCUGAAGUCAAAUAGGCCCAGAGUUCAAUUGCUGUUUGAAAUGGUCUUUUCUGGUGAACUGUGGUAUGGAUGUUCCAGGGUGUUGUGUGACUGCAUGGGUUUUUGCCUCUAGGAAGGUGCUUUCUUCUGCCUGAAAAACAACAGGAAGGAAUUCAUAGCACUGUGGAAGUGUUGCCAUAAAAAUCAUUGUUACACUAAGGGAAAGCAGACUUGGUGUUUUUUGUCUCUAGGUAAGUGUUUUCAGUCAGAAUUAAUGUCCAUGGAAGCUGAUUGCUGACCUUAAUUGACUUUGGAAAUUGCUCACAACAUCACACUUGUGUGCCAAACAACAUUCACAGUCUCUGUUUGUUACAAGGUCCAACAACUCUUGUUCGCUUUAGGAGUUACCCAGUAGACUCUCUCUGGAUGCCCACUUUGUUGUAGGUUUGUGUUUCAUAAAAGAUACAGACCAGAUAUGCAGAAAAUACAUAAAUUGCCUUUGGUGUGGAGUCAGCUGAUUGAGUCUGGAAAUUUUGCAUGCUUUUCACAACUGAGAUGUCAUUUCACAUGCACAUUUUACCAAUUGCUGAAUGUCUCUGCCCAUUCUGUCAGUGUAAUGCUUCAAAGAUGCUUAAAAUGCCUAUAUUGCUGGAGGUACUGGACAAAUACAGAUAGAUUUUUGGUCAUCUUUUCAGGUAAUACCAUAGGAAGUCAGCAGAAGAGAAAUAUAUAGGGAUUUUCAGACACAAUCUUUUGAUUUGCUUGAAUUCCUCCUACUGAAGUAUACCUCAAGCCUGCAGAAGUAUAUGCAUGAUCACAAGGUAACAAAUGGUUAUGCCUUCAGAAACUAUAUCCUAACAGCAUCCAGAUCUAUCCAGUAUUCCCCAGGUCAGUUUGGAGGUGAAUUAAUUUGGAGACAAUUAAUAAGCAGCUCCAAUUGCACGCAUUGAACAUAAUCCUGUGAAUAUUACUAACAUGUAAACACUACUCCUCUUGAAGACCACAUGCAGAUUUUGAUGUCUUCAUGUUCUUCCACCAGUAAGUAUUAUAUUUUGUUUAUUAUUUGGAUUUCCUUAGGCUUCAGUGGCAUUUUCUAGAUUUUACAGAAAUGUUCCAGAAUUUAUCCCUUCCAAGGUGGCAUGUGCUAUUUGAAAUAACACUUAAAGACAUCUCUUUGAUGUUACUUUUAAUUCUAAACUUAGCCAUUGCAUGCCAAAGCCCCAGAUUUGAUUGAACAAGGCUUUCUUCAUUUUUUGCAAGGUUUUUUUUUUUAUUAUUAUUUAAGUAAAGAUCUUAUUAAAAAUUAAAUUUUCAUUGGCCUGCAAUGUAUCGGCAAGAUUACACAACUCUGAUUUACUGUUAGGAUAGGAAAUUAACUUCAAAAGAAAAGAAAUGGAAAUUGGUGGCUUUUUCUCCCAUAGCAUAUAACAGCAAUAAGACAGAAUGAUAUAGUGAUACCAGAAGCAUAUUUUCCCUUCAGAUGACGAAACGAAUACCCCUUCAUUCCUUACCCUACAUAUUUACUUGCAUUUCAGGAUGGUUUCUUGCUAUAAGUAAGGAUCUGGGACAGGUCACGAGCUGAUGUUACUAUUAUAAAAAAAUGUCAGCAGAUAAACAAGUUAACUUUAAUUAUAACAGUGAUUCCAGACACUAUAAGCUACUGCAUAUUUUUAAGCUAAGUUAUACAAAGUGUUGUGUUCUGGCUUGCAUCCGGCUGUUUGCUUAAACCCACUCAACUAUAAGCACAAGUGGUCCUGCUGAACCUGGUUAUAUGCCAUAAUACAAGCAGGUUGAAUUGCCCAGUUGGGUCAGGGCCAGGGUGCAGAGCAUUUUGAGGAUGCAGGCCAUCCCACAAUCAUCCGUAUGGUUUCUGUGUAUCUGCCUAAAGUCAUUAAAUUUUUCAAAAUUGAAUCUCUGUUGUGGUAUAUUAUCCCUCCUUUCUUCAUAAAAACCUCUAUUGAAGUUUCAACUCUGUCCUUAAGGCCUGAUCCAAACCAGGAUAGGAAGCACAAUGUUCAUAACAGCUGUUGGAACUGGCUGAAGUCAUCCACCUGGGUUGAGGUAUCUUGGUGGAAGAAGCCCUAUUCUUACUCUGCUCAGUUUUAACUCUGUGGACUUUUUUUGAAGAGGACACCUACAGAAGAAAGUAAACAGUCUUGAGGGAUUCACCAUCUAAGAAGGUUAUGCCACUUGCAGAAUGUCCUAACACAGAAACCUAAGCAGGGAUUUCAACGCUUGUUCCAGCAGGGGAAACUCACAGUAAUACCUACCUCUUGGGCAUACGUGCCGAUAGUGGGCCCCAAAGUCAGUGUUAGGACCUCAGGUUUAGCAUGUGAAGAGCAUUUAAUGCCUUAGAAAUGGAAUCACAGACCUCCAGAUUGAGAGGUAAGAAGUGAAGGAAGAAAACUUGAAGUGGAAAUGCCCAAUUCAGUGCUGCAAGAAGCCACUGCUGGGAUGUAUGACCUCCAGGCUUCUCCCUUCAAAGGACUGAGCAAAGCCAGCUUUGUUUUGUUUCUGUAAAAGAAUGUAGUCACCAAAGGAAAAGGAGGAGCCUCUCACCAUUUUUGUUGUAGUCCAGUGGUUAAAACUGCUUGCCCAAGAAAAGCCAGGUGAGUUCUUGGUUUGCCUCUGCCUGGGAGGUUUAAACCUACAUUUCUCAAUUGCCAUGGGAGUACCCCAACCACAAGACUGCAGGUGACGCUGGGUGGAGGAAACAUUUCUGCAUUCCUUGGUCAAACUGUGGGACUGCACAGGAAAGACUAAGAGAUUCCCACGACCCUUUGUAAGAAACAAGGAAUUCCUGGGUCCUAGGUCAUUUCCCCUUUUCAAUUUUAUGUCUGUUUAUCUAGGCAGAGUAUGAGAUUCAGAUUUGGGAAGGAGGAGUAGCAGUUUUGGGUCUGAGAUGGGUAGGCAUUUAGAAUCACAGAACCAUUUGGGACCCUUAAAGGUCACCUAGUCCAAAUCCCCUGCAAUGAACAGGGAAAUAAUCAUUUGAUAAAUAAAGGGUCUGCUCCUACAUCCUUCAAAUCUCAGUCUGUAGCUCUGUAGCAGGCAAUACCCAUGCAGCAAUAAUCACAACUUCCGACAUUUUAAUCAUUAGACCACAGGUUCAUGCUGUCCUUGUAAAGUCAGCUUGGGGUACCAUAGCUCUUCCAUUUCUUCCUCUCUAUUCAUUGGCAUUGUUUGAAUGAGGAAAUGAAUCCUUUCUCCUCCCCUCCUCCCUGUGCCCGAUAUCUCACCUUCGCCUGGUAACUCGGUGUUUAGGAUAGUUUCAUGGGAAAUGGAAACUCUGAACCCCUGAGGCUGAGGAGGGCCCAGAGCCCACUGUUCUACUUCCUGGGAGAGCGCUUUCAUCCUGGGGUUAUUACAAGAGAGGGAGCGGAAGGCGCUGGCACUGCUGUCUCCUCCUCCACCAGCUGCAUUUAAAGGAAGAAAGCAACUAUGACUGCAUUCUUGAAGGGUGUGAUCCUGCAAGCAAGCGAGAGCUCUCCCUUGUAAGGACUGAAACUCUUCAAGAAUAGCAGCCCCCGUGAGAUCAUGAGAUCUCUUGUUGGAGAGGCGGUCACUACUAGGGAAGGUUUUUUCCCACCUGAAAGCAGAAUCCCAGAAUACACUCCCCUGUUCACAAAGCUACAAAGAAAAGCUACAGAAGUGUCUUAAUGAUCAGGAAAAUAAAGAUGUUACUCAUACUUGAGUUCUCCCAUGCUAUGCGUCCACCCAACAAAUGGAUCUCCUGCCAUGGGUUUGUUGAGCUGUUCUGUGUUAAGACACCCAAAACUCACUGCACAAAGAGCGAGGUACCUGCUGACCUGCCGAGCAACAAAAGGAUGCAUAUGGAAAGAAAAACUUGUUCUGAUGUUGAUUCUUCUGUACCUGCCUUGAAGACUGUGAGAACAAAUCAGUCAUAGAUUGCUGCCUGAUAGUCAUGAGCAAAUUUUAAUUCCAGCAUGCAGGCACUCCCUUUGGAAGGGAAAGAUAGACUCAAUUGCACAUAGAGAGCCAGAACUGCAACCUUGCAAAAAUCGGAGACUUUGUUUCGAGAGCCAAACAAAAUUGAAUAUGUUCCCCCCCCCAACAUACACACACUAUCAUCAAAUAUUAUCAAUUUAAUUGCUCAGCUUCUGCAGCUGUGAGCACAAUAAAUUAGCUUGGCUGGAAUGGAAUUCGUAAUUCUCUGAGAUACGUUCGAAAAUAAAAUACUGAGCAAAAUGCUCAGCUAAUGAGAAUCAGCAUAGUUCCACUAACCUCAGAUAAGCUACUGAGCAAGUAGGAAUCGUUCAAGUUCCUCUGACUUAGUUGGAAUGCCUUCACUCAGAUCAGCAGAAGAAUAUAAAUUUACUCCAGGAAUUUGUGUUUCUGUGCCUUUUAGGGAUCUGAUAUAAAAACCUGUGGUUGGAAUUAUUCAGCACAAUGUGAUAUACUGUAGCAGAUCUUCAUCAAACAUCAGUGGCUUUUGUAGCACUGGGGAACUCACUGUCACAGGACAUUGCAAAUGCUCAAAAUCUGCAUUGUUUAGGGGACUACUGGAGAAGAUAAUAGAGAAGAAAGCAAUUUUAUGUUGCUAAAUACUAAGGACAUGAUCUCUGGCUCAGAAAUUCUUGAUCUGCAAAUUGCUGGCAUAUUUGGGAAGUACCGUCAUGCUCUUGCCCUUUCCUUAUAUUCUUCAUGCAUUUGCUUUCAGCCAUUCUUGAAGCAGUAUCCAAAGCUGGGGGAGAUCUUCUGCUCUGGCCAAGUAUCACUGUUUUUAUGUUCCUCAAAAGUGGAUUAUGAAACACAA